UUUACAAAUCAUUCCUAAGGCAUCUCCACUUCAGGAAAUGACAUCAGCACCCUGUUUCUGUGGUUUAUACAAAAGCAGCGAAAACCCGAAUUACACCCAUUCACAUGAAUAACCAGAUAAAUAAUGUUUGUAUACAUUUAUAUCAUCCUUCUGUUAGAGAUCCCAGCAGCUGUUCUUGGAGUGGACGUGGAUCAAGGUCCAAAAACUUUGGUUAAAGCAGCAGGAAAAACUGUGUAUUUGCCUUGUAAAGCAACUGGUUUGGAAUAUAUUCAUUGGUACCAAGUAAAAGAUGAUGAAGCCCCAUCAAGACUGCUUUAUAUCAGUCGAGAUGGUGUUGUCACCCGUGAUAACAAUGCUCAAACACAUGACUUCACAGUGGACAAAACCAGGCUUUAUAACCUAAAACUGGGUGAUGCUCAGCAAAAACACGCUGCUGUCUACUUCUGCGCCUACUGGGACUCAAGCAGCCACAGUGAGAACAUUAGUUCACAUCCUGCACAAAAACUAGCAAACACUUACUAUAUGAAAUACUAGAAUACUUCAUUCAUUUAACUUUUAAUUUCAAUUUGAGUUUAACUCCUGUUGGGGGGCAACACGGUGGCCCAGUGCUUAGCACUGUCUCACAGCA